CAUGCCAAUGGCAUUGCCCGGUAGCUAAAUGCGGAAGAGAUAAGUGCUGAAAGCAUCUAAGCACGAAACUUGCCCCGAGAUGAGUUCUCCCUGACUCCUUGAGAGUCCUGAAGGAACGUUGAAGACUACGACGUUGAUAGGUCGGGUGUGUAAGCGCAGCGAUGCGUUGAGCUAACCGAUACUAAUGAACCGUGAGGCUUAACCUU
rnacentral:rRNA from 1 species